CCUCCCGUGAUGGGCGAAAUCUCCGCAACUUUCGUUCUUCUGAGCGAGAUGAAGCCAGAGAUUUGGGUCUGAGGAGG
rnacentral:snoRNA from 1 species